rnacentral:tRNA from 1 species
AAGGAUUUAAGUUAACUAAACUAAAAGCCUUCAAAGCUUUAAAUAAAGUAUAAUACUUUAAGCCUUA